rnacentral:lncRNA from 1 species
AGAGAGCCGUGUCUGUUCAUGUUGCCGGUCCUAAAUGCUCUCUGGCCUGUCCUGAACUUUCUCUGGCUCUUUCUUCAGCAUUUCAUGAGCUUUUAUGAUGAAGCCUCUGUGUAUGUUUGUGUGAGCAGCAGAAAAGGUGCAGAAAGACGUUUGUUAAACUGUUAGCAGUGGUUACCUGGGGCAGUGGGAUUACAGUCAGGCAGAUGGAGAUGAUUAACUUUUCCUUACUAUCUCUGUGUUGCUUGAACUUGUUAUAACCAGCAUGUAUUACACAUGAAACUUUAAAGAAUCCAAUAAAAUUAGAAAGCAAGUCGCAAAAGGAGACACACAGUAUGAUAUCAUGCCCAUAAAAUCCGAAAUCCAAAACUCCCAUAAACAAUAUGUUGUGUUGUUUAUGGGGUAUCCUAUGUAUUGUUUACGGGGUCUAAACCUAGGGGCCUAGUAAAAAGCCUAAAGCCUGCUGGAAGACGCCACACUGGAUGGGAAGAGCUCAUAGAGAAAGGAGGUGGAGUGAUGUUGAGGAAGGCAACUUCAACUGGACCCAUGGCAUUUUGUUUCCUAAGAAAACAAAAACCUCAAAGCAAAUAUGGUGAAAAGUUAAUGUUCGUUGGAGUGGACGAUGGGUCUUUUAUGACUGUUAUGUUAUUCUCCAUACUUGUCCAUUCGUUUGAAAUAUUUCAGAAACUAAAUUAACUAUAACAAAGGAGAGAUAAUUGAAUUCAUCCUUAUUUGUAACUUAUCUUGCACGACACCCGAUAUGUACCCCAGGUAUAAGAAAGGAAAAAAGGGAAGAGGGAG